GCAAGUGCAAGUCCACUGAUUGCCACAUAUGACUCGAUCGGAUCGAGUUUAUAAGGCGAGCAUCCUUAAGAUGCUCUCAAAUUUCUUGUUUCUUGUUGUCUUUGGAGGAUUCGUUAGCAAUUUGCACAAACAAUUAUUUGCACACUUAUAGAAUCAAUUAAGGAAUAUUUACGUAAAACCAGGCGCUUUUUAAAAGGAUCGGACUUUAAAGACCGAAGCUAUAUGUAUAUCAAUACUGCAUUUUUAAAAAGUCUGUUGCUGAAAGAAGAAGAACAGUCGAGAGGACGACAACAACAACAACAGCAGCAGCUCACAGCGAUUGAGGCAGCGAGGCAACAGAACAGAACAGAAACGACAAAAAAGAAAUUCCUCACGCUUCAGACGGCCGUGAGGCAUGCCCGAAAAUUCCGCAAGACAAUACGCCUACCCCGACCAAGACUGUGAGCCA